UACGUAGGGGGCAAGCGUUGUCCGGAAUUAUUGGGCGUAAAGAGCGUGUAGGCGGCCAGAUAAGUCCGCUGUGAAAUCUCGAGGCUCAACUUCGAGCUGUCGGUGGAAACUAUCUGGCUAGAGUCCGGAAGAGGAGAAUGGAAUUCCUGGUGUAGCGGUGAAAUGCGCAGAUAUCAGGAAGAACACCGGUGGCGAAGGCGGUUCUCUGGGCAUGUCCUGACGCUGAGGAGCGAAAGUGUGGGGAGCGAACAGG
rnacentral:rRNA from 1 species